UUUCCUAGGGUUUUCGGACCAAAACAUUUCCCUUCAAGGUUCAAGGCAACGGCGCUCUCUCACUCUCACUUCGUCUCUUAAGGCUCACUCUCAGUCUCAUUUUCAAGAUGUGGGAGGAUUGUUACGAAGGUAAGUCUCUGUUGAGCCCUGAAUCCGCCUCUAAGCUCUGUUUGUCCAUCACUCAUGUCUUCCAAACUUGGCUCAAAUCUCUCCCCAAAGAAAUCAUACCCAACAUCCUAAUCAGACUACCCAUCAAAUCCUUGAUCAAAUUCACCUCUGUCUGCAAGUCUUGGAGGUCCACCAUCAAAGACCCAAGCUUUAUCCGCACCCACCUCACCCACACUCUCAAUUUCAAUGACCAAAAUGCCACCCACCUCAUUCUCCUCCACACUAUUUUCAGUGAAGGCACUUCCACCCCUUUUGGAAGAGUUCACAUUUCUGGGUUCCAAGAAGACUCUUACUGUUUGCGUUAUGAUAACAAUGAUGUCAGUCACUACUGCAAGGUUGAGUUCCCAAUUGGUCUUAAGGAAAAAAUGGUCAAUCCGUGUCUUCGUGUUGUGGGUACUUGUGAUGGGCUAGUUUUGCUGGCUGAUGAUUUGGGGCGUUAUGCUUACAACUUUGUUGUAUGGAACCCUUGUGUAAGAAAGUAUGUGACCCUUUCCAAGCCCAGUGUUAGGUUUGCGACUCACGGUGGGUAUGAUGCUUCCCUUGGUCUCGGUUAUGAUGCUAUUGGUAAUGAUUAUAAGGUUGUGAGGGUGACCACUCUUUUGGAUCAACCUGAUGAGCUCCCGACGACUUUAGCUCAGGUUUAUUCACUAGCCACAGGUUCUUGGGGCAUGCUUCGUGUUCUUCCUCCAUGUCAAGUGCCUGGCUCCUGGGUCCAGGCUUCUGUUAAUGGGACACUUCACUGGCUGGCUCUCCGUUGUGUGGAUGAUCAUUAUAGCCAUUUUGUUGUGGCAUUUGAUGUGGGAAGUGAGUCGUAUCGUGAGAUAAUGUUGCCCAAGUGCUUCAAAGCGGACAAGUCAUUGGAGUUGCGGCUGUGUGCUUCGGGUGAUAGAAAAUCCAUUGGUCUGUUUGUGAGGUGUAAGAGUGAGUCUGAUUGUUUUCUUGAUAUAUGGGUGAUGAAGGAGUAUUGCAUUGAGAAGUCGUGGACCAAAUUGAUGAUUCUCACUCCACAAGGUCCCAAAAGAAGUUUGCCGGAGGCGUUGUGUUUUAGGAGGAAUGGUGAAGUGAUGUUGGUACUUGAAGAUGACCGUGAGUUGGUUUCACUUGACAUUGGGAACAAACAGUUUAAAAAUCUUGGGAUUUCUGGAGGUCAGGUUUCUUCUGUUGACUCGUAUGAAGAGAGCCUUGUCUUGCUCGACAGGAAAGAUGCAAUUUCUUACUGAGGGGAAAAGAAUAGUUUAGCAAUUGGUUCUGUACUUAGCUUCUGGGUGUUUUGCUGUCAAGUUGAUGUUGGUAAUGUUUCUCUCUUCUUCUCAUUUUCUCGUCUUAAUUGAUUGUCUUUCCUGCUUGUGUUGUCUCAUAAGGCAAAUGUCUUACCAAAUUAAACUCUGCUGUGGUUUAAAAUUAGUUUGGAGAACAAGAAGUAUAAAACAAAAUAAUUAGUUUCACUGAUGGUAGAUGUUGGAAAACAAGGCUUCAGUAUAAAGAUAUUAAGAAAAAAGGUUACAUUGCUCCUUGUAUAAGUGCUUGUUGUUUUGUGCUUUAUGCUCGCGACAUCAUUUUGGUGUGACCUUAAAUAGGGGACUGUGCAACUGUUUCUGCUACUAUAAUAGUGUGGUAGUGUAGUUGGUAUAACAUGUUAUUAACUGUUGUAAUUGAAGCAUAGACCUGUUCACUACUCUUUUCAAUUGAUGCUACUUUCCAAUUUAGACUUUGUUUAUACAAUAGUUCAUUUUUCACUAGAUUUCUUUAGGGUUAUUAUCACAAAUGGUACCUGAACUUAUCCUUCAUUUUAUCAAUGGUACCUUUACUUCAAUUUUAAUCACAACCGGUACCCGAACUUUUCAAUUUCAUUUUAAAUAGUACCUAAAGCCACUUGCGGUCACUAUUCCGGCCAAAAAAGACAAACCCAAAAAAAAAAAAAAAAGUUCAAGGCAAGUCUAUUACCAAAAAGAUCAUCACUAUGAUCGCAGCCCUUGAAAUCGCCAAAGAUCAUCAAUAUGAUCGCCUCAUAUGCUAUUUUUAGUCGGAAUAGUGACCGAAUGUGGGUCUAGGCACCAUUACAAAAGAACCCGAAUAGUUCAGGUAUUUGUUGUGAUAAAAAAUAAAGUUUAGGUACCAUUGAUAAGAUUGAGGUAUAGUUCAAGUACUAUUUGUGAUUUUUACCCAUUUCUUUAUGCCAAGAAUGAAGAGGAAAUAACCUGCACUCUCCGGAGAAAGUAAUAGGAAAGUGUUCAUGACUGCUGAUAUCACUACAAUAUUUUGGACUGACUGACAUAUUGGGUUUUUCAUUUUUGUCUGUUUAACGUUUUCUUCUGUUACAAAUUUGUAAUACUGUGGCACGAUUUGUUAAAUUUUUUUAGACAAAUGACUAGUAGAUCUUUGAAACUUGAACAAACUAUGAUUUUUUUAUGAAGAUUUAAUGCUUAACUGGUAUUGUACGUAUCAAAUGGGGGACGAUGUCGUAGACAUAUUACAUUGUUUGCGGUUACUCUGACAUAAUCUAUUAUCCCCUUACGAGCUCGGUUGCUUAUCUUUUUAGUUGAAUAGGGAUCAUAACAUAACCUGACAUAUGAACUGAUAAAGUGAUACCUUAAAAACUACCAACGUGGGAACUGGAAGCAAGACAAACUAAUGUUUGUAACUCUAGUUUAUGCAGUACUAGAAACAGUAAAUCUACGUUUUGCUUUGUAAUAUUUAGACUGCAUCUCCAUGGUUUCUAUCGUCGUCGAAGCAUCUCCAUGUCACAUGCCUUGGAAAUCUUGAGCAAAUGUCCAGGAAUUUGUUUCACUUGACCUUGUGAACAAACAGUUUAAAAAUCUUUGGUUUUUGGAGGCCAGGUAUGCUCUAUUGAGUACUUUAAAGAGAGAAUUGUCUUGCUCCACAAUAAAGAUGCAGCUUGUUGCUGAGGGCAAGAAUAGGUAAGAUGAUAUGCAUAGCAUUGGCUGCCUCUGUUUUAUGUUUUCUUCUAGUUCAAAUGCAUAUGCCGCUAGUUUAUGUGACAUGUGACCAUUGCAUUUUAGCACAGCCGCUUUAUGCUAGCUGAUUAGUACCUCUCUUUGCCUUGCAGUUGGUUUGUUCUUUGCUUACUGGGUGUUUAAUUUGCUGGCAACUAGUUGUUGGUAUUAUUUUACAAGACUUCCUGUCUUAGGGAGAUUUCAGGAGUAAAUGACUGUAGUAUUAUACUUAAUGUGAUAAUUGAAGCAGAUAUCAGUUACAUGCUCUCUUGUGUGCUUGCAAGUUAAAGUUACUCAGCUGCAUCCAAAUGUGGAACUUUUUGGAGUCCAGAGAAUUGGCCAGAAUUUUGUCUUUGCUACUCAAGAACCGUUCAUUGAUUCUUAUGUCUUUGCUUUUCCAUAUUCAGUUGAAAUGUUUAUAUGUAAUUUGUAUGAUUCUGAGAACAAAUAAAUUUGUGGAAUACGAUUCAGC